AACCUGUGGCAUACUCGACCAACUACUGCGUUCUGGGAAAGACUUCAGCCAGGAUAUGGCAACUUGAAGGUGAAAGCAGUGCAGGGGCCCAGUGAAGACCUAACAAUUGAAGAUGUAAUAAUUGCAUGAGUCCUGCUGACAUGACAUCAAAAGCUCUCCCAGGCAUACCCCAGUGUCUUCUGCCUGGGCUGUUUUAUUUCAACCGUGUAAGGUUACCAACGGCCAAAUGAUGAUGAACCAAACCUGCACGAGCAGACAGAAGGGGCUGUACACCUUUCUGAAGAUUCCCACGGGCUCGCCCUAAACGCUGGGGAUUCCCUUCGGAACAUUAAAAACGGACCUUCAGUAAGACACGCAAAGGCUAAUUUUACAAAUGCAAUAGGCAGAUACCCUUCCAGCAACCGAUGCAGACAGAAGCGGAUAAGAAAGGGGAUUCUGACUAGAUCGCUGAGACUGUAGGAGGAACUGGCUGGGGCCCCUGAAAUUCACCCCGAACUAGUGAUCUGCCUCUAACUUCUCUUCAGGAAACGGUUCAAAGUUAUGAAACAGGUCGGAGCUGGACGGGCCAAAGCACAUAAUCCACGUCCAGGACCAGGUGCCAGCAGGGGACCCCAGCCCUCCGCC